GCGAAGGGGAAAGUACCGCACUGCUACAACAACGGGGACGGCAAUGAGGAUCGGCCAGCAACGGAGGAACGACGGUGAGCUUGGCUGGUUCGGAUGGUCGUGGAAAUGGAGGCUUCCCUUUUCGAAGCCUUCAAGAGACCCCACGAUGACUGGUCUUCGAAACAGGGAACAAAAAUUUCGAUGGCGGUAAAGAGGAUGGCGACUCGCGAUGAAGAGGCGACUGUUGCUAACGAGCAAGGCAGUGCUCGGUGAGGAGGAUCCCACGGUGAAGUUGUGUUAUAAGGCGCCGGUGAAGGUGACGAGACGACGGCGACAACAAAUUGAUUUUUCCCCCCAUCUCCUCCAAAUAGUGAAAAUUUGGGAUUUAGUAUUUGAUUUGAUUACGAUUUGAUGAUCGUAAUACACCGGGCGAAAAAAGAGGGAUUUGUGAAUGAAUAGGUUGGUUUGUUCAUCACAUAAAUAGAGGGAUUUUGCGGCUCUGUUCAAGUGAAGUGAGAGAGUUGAAGAAAUUGGGAGCUACAAUUACAAGAUGGUUGGGUACUUCAACUGGAAGUUCAAGAUUAGAGAGGCGGAGCCACUGCCGGAGGUCAAAGAGGCGUUCGCGACUUAAAGAGUAGUAUAUAGUUUUCCCUCUGUUUUUGGGUGAAUUGGAUUUGUUUUCCCUCUGUUUUCUUUGUUUCUGGUUUUUGCUAGCAUAUGUUUAAACCUGCGAGAGAAUCAGAUGAUACUGUAAGGGUAGAUCCUUUAGAUAAUCUCAAGAAAUACAGAGGAGGAUAUGAUAUCACACA